GAUGAAGAACGUAGCGAAAUGCGAUAAGUAAUGUGAAUUGCAGAAUUCAGUGAAUCAUCGAAUCUUUGAACGCACAUUGCGCCCGCCAGUAUUCUGGCGGGCAUGCCUGUUCGAGCGUCAUUUCAACCAUCAAGCCCCAGGCUUGUGUUGGGGACCUGCGGCUGCCGCAGGCCCUGAAAACCAGUGGCGGGCUCGCUGUCACACCGGGCGUAGUAGAUUUUAUCUCGCUCUGGGCGUGCUGCGGGUUCCGGCCGUUAAAAAACCCUUUUAACCCAAGGUUGACCUCGGAUCAGGUAGGAAUACCCGCUGAACUUAAGCAUAUCAAUAACGGAGGA
rnacentral:misc_RNA from 1 species